rnacentral:rRNA from 1 species
UGAACGCUGGCGGCAUGCCUAACACAUGCAAGUCGAACGAGAAAGUUCCUUCGGGAGCGAGUAGAGUGGCGAACGGGUGAGUAACGCGUAGGAAUCUGCCCUAAAGUGGGGGAUAACCCGAGGAAACUCGGGCUAAUACCGCAUAAUUCCUUCGGGGAAAAGCAGGGGACCUUCGGGCCUUGCGCUUUAGGAUGAGCCUGCGUCAGAUUAGCUUGUUGGUAGGGUAAAAGCCUACCAAGGCUACGAUCUGUAGCUGGUCUGAGAGGACGACCAGCCUCAUUGGGACUGAGACACGGCCCAAACUCCUACGGGAGGCAGCAGUGGGGAAUAUUGGACAAUGGGCGAAAGCCUGAUCCAGCAAUGCCGCGUGUGUGAAGAAGGCCUGAGGGUUGUAAAGCACUUUCAAUAGAGAAGAAAAUACUCGAGACUAAUAUCCUCGAGAGUUGACGUUACCUAUACAAGAAGCACCGGCUAACUCU